rnacentral:tRNA from 1 species
CGCCUCCAUAGGCGCUAGUCUAACACAAGACCUCUA